CAGCAGCCGCGGGAAAACAGAGGGUGCGAGCGUUAAUCGGAUUUACUGGGCGUAAAGCGUGCGUAGGCGGCUUCUUAAGUCGGAUGUGAAAUCCCUGAGCUUAACUUAGGAAUUGCAUUCGAUACUGGGAAGCUAGAGUAUGGGAGAGGAUGGUAGAAUUCCAGGUGUAGCGGUGAAAUGCGUAGAGAUCUGGAGGAAUACCGAUGGCGAAGGCAGCCAUCUGGCCUAAUACUGACGAUGAGGUACGAAAGCAUGGGGAGCAAACAGGAUUAGAUACCCCUGUAGUCCCUGUCUCUUAUAC
rnacentral:rRNA from 1 species